rnacentral:rRNA from 1 species
AUUACCGCGGCUGCUGGCACGUAGUUAGCCGGGGCUUCUUCCGAGGGUACUGUCCGUCCUCCUCCCCCCGAAAAGUGGUUUACAUCCCGAAAGACGUCAUCCCACACGCGGCGUCGCUCCGUCAGCCUUGCGGCCAUUGCGGAAAAUCCCUUGCUGCUGCCUCCCGUAGG